rnacentral:rRNA from 1 species
CGCGUAGGCGGUGCGGUAAGUCACCUGUGAAACCUCCGGGCUCAACUCGGAGCCUGCAGGCGAAACUGCCGUGCUGGAGUGUGGGAGGGGUGCGUGGAAUUCCCGGUGUAGCAGUGAAAUGCGUAGAUAUCGGGAGGAACACCUGUGGCGAAAGCGGCGCACUGGACCACAACUGACGCUGAGGCGCGAAAGCUAGGGGAGCAAACAGGAUUAGAUACCCUGGUAGUCCUAGCCCUAAACGAUGGAUGCUUGGUGUAGCCGGUACCCAAUCCGGCUGUGCCGCAGCUAACGCGAUAAGCAUCCCGCCUGGGGAGUACGGUCGCAAGGCUGAA